rnacentral:lncRNA from 1 species
CGGCUGUUUUGCUGUUUUGAUAGCUAUGAAAUCAUUAUUGGACUGUCAUUUCGAUAGGAUAAUUUGACAUCGAACGUAGUUUCAGAAAAAUAAUUUGACGUCAGACGUUAUAAUUUUGACUAGUAGAUCUUGGCCACGUGUCCGAACAUCAUUGGGUCGGAGCUAUUCACAUGGAUAAUGGUGAGGUGGCACGAUCAAGAGCAGGUGC